CGGAUUGUAGUCUGCAACCCGACUACAUGAAGCUGGAAUCGCUAGUAAUCGCGGAUCAGAAUGCCGCGGUGAAUACGUUCCCGGGUCUUGUACACACCGCCCGUCACACCAUGGGAGUCGGAAAUGCCCGAAGUCGGUGACCGAACCGAAAGGAAGGAGCCGCCGAAGGCAGGUCUGGUGACUGGGGUGAAGUCGUAACAAGGUAGC
rnacentral:rRNA from 1 species